rnacentral:sRNA from 1 species
GCUGGGCAUUGUGGCGGGUGCCUGUGUUUCCAGCUACUUGGGAGGCUGAGGCAAGAGACUCGCUUGAGCCCAGGAGUUGGAGGUUGCUGUGAGCUGUGAUGCCACAGCACUCUACCCAGGGGGACAGCUUGAGGCUCUGUCUCAAAAAAAAGACAGAGUCUUACUUUAUCACCCUAGGUAAAGUGCGUGAUGUCAUAGCUUACAGCAACCUCCAACUCUUGGGUUCGAGCGAUCUUCUUGCCU